GGCUUCAUAAAUGGUCGACGUGUUUCCAUCAGACGAUCACAUACUGCAGAGUCAAGACUUCACAUGUUCAGUGAGUUGCAAGCUAAAAGCGAAAUGAGUACCUUGCCCAGCCACAUCAAUAUGGUGUCAUCGAUUGGGUUUUGCAGAAAUAUUAAAGAGAUGAUCCUUGUGUAUGAUUAUGCAGCUGGAGGGACUCUACAUGAUUUUCUCCGUAACCCU
rnacentral:misc_RNA from 1 species